UGGGGAAUAUUGCACAAUGGGCGCAAGCCUGAUGCAGCCAUGCCGCGUGUGUGAAGAAGGCCUUCGGGUUGUAAAGCACUUUCAGCGGGGAGGAAGGCGUUAAGGUUAAUAACCUUGGCGAUUGACGUUACCCGCAGAAGAAGCACCGGCUAACUCCGUGCCAGCAGCCGCGGUAAUACGGAGGGUGCAAGCGUUAAUCGGAAUUACUGGGCGUAAAGCGCACGCAGGCGGUCUGUCAAGUCGGAUGUGAAAUCCCCGGGCUCAACCUGGGAACUGCAUUCGAGACUGGCAGGCUAGAGUCUUGUAGAGGGGGGUAGAAUUCCAGGUGUAGCGGUGAAAUGCGUAGAGAUCUGGAGGAAUACCGGUGGCGAAGGCGGCCCCCUGGACAAAGACUGACGCUCAGGUGCGAAAGCGUGGGGAGCAAACAGG
rnacentral:rRNA from 1 species